rnacentral:rRNA from 1 species
AGUGAACGCUGGCGGUAGGCCUAACACAUGCAAGUCGAACGGCAGCACAGGAGAGCUUGCUCUCUGGGUGGCGAGUGGCGGACGGGUGAGGAAUACAUCGGAAUCUACUCUGUCGUGGGGGAUAACGUAGGGAAACUUACGCUAAUACCGCAUACGACCUACGGGUGAAAGCGGGGGACCUUCGGGCCUUGCGCGAUUGAAUGAGCCGAUGUCGGAUUAGCUAGUUGGCGGGGUAAAGGCCCACCAAGGCGACGAUCCGUAGCUGGUCUGAGAGGAUGAUCAGCCACACUGGAACUGAGACACGGUCCAGACUCCUACGGGAGGCAGCAGUGGGGAAUAUUGGACAAUGGGCGCAAGCCUGAUCCAGCCAUACCGCGUGGGUGAAGAAGGCCUUCGGGCUGUAAAGCCCUUUUGUUGGGAAAGAAAUCCAGCUGGCUAAUACCCGGUUGGGAUGACGGUACCCAAAGAAUAAGCACCGGCUAACUUCGUGCCAGCCGCCGCGGUAA